AUUGAACGCUGGCGGCAGGCCUAACACAUGCAAGUCGAGCGAGCGGCGGACGGGUGAGUAAUGUCUGGGAAACUGCCUGAUGGAGGGGGAUAACUACUGGAAACGGUAGCUAAUACCGCAUACCAUCAGAUGUGCCCAGAUGGGAUUAGCUAGUUGGUGGGGUAAUGGCUCACCUAGGCGACGAUCCCUAGCUGGUCUGAGAGGAUGACCAGCCACACGGGAACGGAGCAACGGUCCAGACUCCUACGUGAGGCAGCAGUGGGGAAUUUUGGACACUGGGCGCAAGCCUGAUGCAGCCAUGCCGCGUGUGUGAAGAAGGCCUUCGGGUUGUAAAGCACUUUCAGCGGGGAGGCGUUACUCGCAGAAGAAGCACCGGCUAACUCCGUGCCAGCAGCCGCGGUAAUAC
rnacentral:rRNA from 1 species